rfam:Rattus norvegicus chromosome 2, whole genome shotgun sequence.
GGGGAUUUAGCUCAGUGGUAGAGCGCGUGCCUAGCAAGCACAAGGCCCUGGGUUCGGUCCCCAGCUCUG